rfam:Ixodes scapularis strain Wikel colony gcontig_1108378220856, whole genome shotgun sequence.
GCCUCGGUGGCUCCGACGCGAGAGCGCCGGCCUACGGAUCCCCAGGUGGCGGGUUCGAAUCCCGACCGAGGUG